rnacentral:rRNA from 1 species
AUUGAACGCUGGCGGCGGGCUUAACACAUGCAAGUCGAGCGAGCCGAGGGCGUGUGAGUAAUGUCUGUGAAACUGCCUCAUGUAGGGGGAUAACUACUGGAACCGGUAGCUAAUACCGCAUAGCAUCAGAUGUGCCCAUAGGGGAUUCGCUAGUAGGUGGGGUAAUGGGUCUCCUAGGCGACGAUCCCUAGCUGGUCUGAGAGGAUGACCAGUCACACGGGAACUGAGACACGGUCAAGCCUCCUACGGGAGGAAGCAGUGGGGAAGAUGGCGAAAUGGGAGCAAGCCUGAUGCAGCCAUGCCGCGUGUGUGAAGAAGGCCUUAGGGUGGUAAAGCAGUGUAAGCGAGGAGGGGGUACUCGCAGAAGAAGCACCGGCUAACUCCGUGCCAGCAGCCGCGGUAAUUC